GGCCAGACUCCUACGGGAGGCAGCAGUGGGGAAUAUUGGACAAUGGGCGCAAGCCUGACCCAGCAACGCCGCGUGAAGGAAGAAGGCUUUCGGGUUGUAAACUUCUUUUGACAGGGAAGAGCAGAAGACGGUACCUGUCGAAUAAGCCACGGCUAACUACGUGCCAGCAGCCGCGGUAAUACGUAGGUGGCAAGCGUUGUCCGGAUUUACUGGGUGUAAAGGGCGUGUAGCCGGGCUGACAAGUCGGAUGUGAAAUCCGGGGGCUCAACCCCCGAACUGCAUUUGAAACUGUUGGUCUUGAGUAUCGGAGAGGCAGGCGGAAUUCCUAGUGUAGCGGUGAAAUGCGUAGAUAUUAGGAGGAACACCAGUGGCGAAGGCGGCCUGCUGGACGACAACUGACGGUGAGGCGCGAAAGCGUGGGGAGCAAACAGGAUUAGAUACCCCAGUA
rnacentral:rRNA from 1 species